UGCAGAUUCUGUUGCCCGCACUACUGUGAGCCCUCCAAGGUCAGAAGAUGUUGGCCAGGAUGGCGUGAAAUCCCCAAGCUUAAGCUCCAGGAGCUACCUGAAGAGUGCAAGCAUUAGUGCCUCCAAGUGUGUCGUUGUCUCAAAUAAACACCCAGAGGUAAAUGCUGAACUACCUGAAUUCUUCUGGUGGCAAGUAGGCAAGAUGACACACUUGUGCACUGUCAAUAUCUUUUUUUCCGAUGGAUUUCACACUGUCAAUAUCAAGAAAGGAUGCGUGAACAGAACAUGUUCGAUUGAUUUGUUGCAUGCAAGUUGU
rnacentral:lncRNA from 1 species